GCCAACCUGCUUCUCCUUCUACUCCAUGUCUGUUACAGAAAAAAAAAACAUUAAUCUUGCCUGCUGGAUGUCAUCUGGUGACAAGGACUUAUCUCAUCAAAAGAAAGUCAAGAACAGAGGGCUGUGAGACUGCAUCUGACACUGCAGAAUCAAUACAGACAAGUGGAAGACUAAAGAAGUUACAGAAUCUGGUGCAAACAAAGAAAGGGCAUCAGAGUGGAGCUGGAAAAGAGGAGAACACAUCGAAGGAAGGAACUGCAUUAUUGUAUGAUUAUUACAAAGAAUUUAUACCUACCUUCAGAUCAUUUGGCAGAUGUGCUGAUUAAUAACAAUCCAGUGACCUGCAUUGGUUUUGGGAAGAGAACAGAAAAGUCCUCUGACACUGCUGCAUCAGCACGGCGGCAACAAGCUAAAGUUUAUGAAGGGCCAGUGGAGGAAGAUGUUUGGAGUUCAAGGGCUGCAAAGCUCCUGUGGAGCUCAUUUGAGUGUCCACAGCCCUGGUCUCCUGUCUACCACACCUGCCACCAUUGUCGACAUGAGCUGGUGGUGGCUUGUUGUUACUACCUCGAACCACAGAAUGGGAUCAUCUUGAGAGUUUUGAUACAGGAACUGGACAACAAACAGGGUAAUCUGUCUUCCCCACAAAUGAUCCGCUCCAUCACAGAUCUACACCUCUCACAAAACACAUUGACCAGAUUUAGGAGAUCGGAUGCCUUCAGCACUCAUCUUUGAUGAAACCACAGGAUAAUGCAGGCUGUCUGCAAAAGCAGGAGCAGAAGGGUUCUCCAACUAAUUUGAGGCUGCAGGGAAAGCAAACAGAGGCUGCAUCACAGGCUGACAGGAAGCACGUCAAGACUUC